rnacentral:lncRNA from 1 species
ACUCCGCUAAAAUCGAACCUAAACAGGAAAAAUUCGAAUUCGAAUCCGAAAGAGUAGGAAUCGCCUCGGCCUGACGCAGGCACUGUGCUGUGGUGUCACUGCCAUAAGAUAAAGUAAGGCAGGCAGUGUUUUGGUAUCGUAGCGUAGAGUAGAAGACAGUGCGGCGAGCAGCUGAAAAGUCGAUAGUAUUUACAACCCAGUGCCACACAUUUCCUAUUCGUCCUUGCAGUAUCCGAAGGUCCUGCAUCCUGCUCUCAAACGAAUUUAGUGUUUCAAAUAAUCAGCGGUUAAGCUUUCCAAUAUGACUUCACCCGCCUUAAACAAUGGCAACAAUGGCCAAAAAGAUUCCAAGACCGAGUCGAAUCCCGCUCUCGAGCAGUCCACCAGCAGAAUAGAACCGGAACCAGAAAGAACUCCCCCACUAAUCGCCUGGUGGCGAGUUUUCAAACUAGUCAAUUUACUAAUGCAGCAUAAGUGCUAAAUAUUUAAUUAAGCUUAUGGAGGAAGAGAGUAAACUUAUGGUUGAAAUAGUAAAUAUUUAAUUUUAGCCAUUGAUUUUUAAAAUACAAGACGUGUUUUCUGCUGGUUUAUGGGAAAUAACAGGGUUAAAAUUAGGAUGAAAACUAUGGUACUACAACAGCAGGAUAAAACAUUAUGCACUUUUUCACCUGAAAUAUUAAUAUUAUCAAUACUUAACAGAGCAAUAGAAGAUGUCAUAAACACUAAACAACAUUUAAAUUGCCACUGUGGUUGUCAAAAUAUUUGAAUGUAUAUUUAAUAUGCCACUGUAUAUUUGAAUGUGUAAGUUGAAUAUAGCUAAAUAGAGGAAAGCGAAGAGGGAAAUUCAAAGUCUUGUAUAAAGUCGUUAUAUUUUUGUCUUCAAUAAAUGUAAAAAUUUUGUUGAUUCAUAAGAUUGAAUCCACAACAAUUUCUAAUACGGUUUAGUAUCUUAUCAGAACGAUCAUGAAAAAUAUAAAACAAAAGGGCAACUAUCAACGCCAUAAAUCAGUAGUUUGGUUAAUUGUAAUUUAAAAUCCUAUGAAUGAACCCUCCAUAGGUAAUAAGCCUUAAAUGGAAAUACUUAUAACUCACUGUAGAUUUACGAUAUAUAACAAAGUAGGUUUUACCUUCUGCCGUAUUUAAAGAAGCCUAAAAAAGCGCAGAUGAGAUAUAUUAAAAUAAAUAUAACAAUAAAUAGAAGACACGUAAACAAUAUCCAGCCAUGAGCGAACUAUAAUAAUCAUUAGACCAGAGUAGUCCUUUGGUAUUAAAAAAAAUACAAAAGAAUUUGCUAUAAGUUAGCAAAUAUAUGAAAACUACUUGAUAUCCUUCAAUAUUAGAUGUACUUCUAAUACCAACCAAAGUAUGGUAUUGUAAAACCUGGUAAGAUCUACCUAAUUAUUAAAAGAAUAAUUUCAUAAGUUAGAAAACCAAUAAAGCUGCUAUAUUAUCGGUAGGGACAUUAGGAAUGGAGAAAAUACUAAGGACCGAGAUAAAGACACUAACAUACUUAAACACUGACAUACAAGAUCUAUUUGACUCUACGGCAUAGGACUUUACUUAGUAACAAGGCAUUUAUUUAAGACAACCUUAAAAAUAAUGGACGACCCACAAAGCGAUGAUAGGAUAUUUUUGUCAAUCAACUUCAUAGGAACUGAUGUAAAAAAUGAGGAACUAUUAUUAAACAGAGAAUGUGUGAUAAACGGUGAUGAUAUUGAUGAUGAUGACGAUGACGAUGAUAGUUUAAGUGGGCUAUUAUUGUACGAUGUACAGGUUACAAGCAAGCAGUUAAAAAAUACUAUUUAUAUUCAACUUACACCCAUUCAGAUUCUACAGACAACAACUAAUACAGAAGGUACAAAUUAAUAGUUAGGUACACUACUUGACUUUCUAAUUGAUUCCAACGUCAUCCAGUCUGAAACACAGAAUUACCAUAUACCUAUAGUGGUUAUUUUGUUCCAUGCAUUUAACAAUUAAAACCAAAGUACCUAUGAAAUUUCUCGUCGCUUUAAAUGUAAAAAAUAUCAACUUAGUCUGGGCAUCUGGUCAGCACUAAACAUCGCCUUAGACACGUCCUUUUCAGCAAUAGGUACUUACCCCUCAUAUAGGGGUGUAUUUUUUAGAUGUUAUUAUAUUAUCUAUUAUAGCAUAUCGGUAUUUUUAUAUUCAUCAACUUUUAAGAUCUAUCUAUAUGGCCAAAGAGGUUGUGGAUAUAAGAAUAUGUGUAUUGUCUAGUCAGAAUGUUAUUCAGUGUUAACUUGUUUAAGAAAAAUUGUUGCAUUCUUCAUAUAUUAUGCUUUUUAUUUUAUUUUCCGAUUUAUAUUGAUUUGCUGGCAUGUUGUGGAAGAAAGACAGAACUUAGACAAAA